CACGCCGUAAACGAUGGAUACUAGGUGUAGGAGGUAUCGACCCCUUCUGUGCCGGAGUUAACACAAUAAGUAUCCCACCUGGGGAGUACGGCCGCAAGGUUGAAACUCAAAGGAAUUGACGGGGGCCCGCACAAGCAGUGGAGUAUGUGGUUUAAUUCGAAGCAACGCGAAGAACCUUACCAGGGCUUGACAUCCCUCGCAUACCAUAGAGAUAUGGUAGUCCUUCGGGACGAGGAGACAGGUGG
rnacentral:rRNA from 1 species